AUGAUGUCUUCCAUCGAGCAGAGCUGCACCUGCCGUGGAUGUAUAUAUCAUUUUAUUUACACGCUGUUUCUCGAGAUGUCCGCGUCCACAGAUGUUGAGAGCCAGUCGCCCGCCGCGCGCUCCCGCAGCCGGUGUCUGGACACCUUCCUCACCGUGUCCGUGAUCGCGCUCUUCCUCAUGUUUAUGGUCGCGCUCGCGGGCGCGCUGUACUUCGCCAAACACGUCGAGGACGAGAUAAACAAGCGGACGACGCGACGCUUGGACGGAUCUGCGGACGCGUUGGUUGCGCCGUUUCCCGAGACCGGAAACGCAUAUAAGAUGCAGAAUUUUGCCUACCUGAGGGCCACUGAAAGUAAACUCAAAUCAGGUGUGAUGGCGUGGGAAUCUAUCGCGUAUGGAAGCGGUCAAACCAUCGGCUCUCUCUACAGCUUUGAUCAAAAACAGAAUGUGCUGAACGUGAAUGAGAGUGGAAGCUACUUCCUGUAUGUCCAGCUCACUUUUUCCUGCACUGGAAUAUGUCCAUCUGACCAGUUCACGGUCAGCUUUUAUAAUCAGCGCAAUAGCGUGGAGCUCACCUGCACCGUCUCACUGCCUAAAUGGAGCGAAGAAACACCCAUUAGCAAGACGUGUUGGCGUGUCGUUACCUUUCCGGAAGAUGGAAACCGCCUUGUAGCCAAAUCCCAGUUUAAAGAAACACUAGACUGGAAACUGGAGAUGAAUGACUCUGGCUUUGGGAUGUUUCUGGUGGACGGAUUACGAGCGGUACAUCACACAUGA
ensembl:lncRNA